rnacentral:rRNA from 1 species
CAGCCGCCGCGGUAAUACCGGCGGCCCGAGUGGCGGUCACUCUUAUUGGGCUUAAAGCGUCCGUAGCCGGGUUGGGAAGUCCUCCGGGAAAUCUGGCCGCUUAACGGUCAGAAUGCCGGAGGAUACUCCCAGCCUAGGGAGCGGGGGAGGCCGAGGGUAUUCCCGGAGUAGGGGUGAAAUCCUAUAAUCCCGGGAGGACCACCUGUGGCGAAGGCGCUCGGCUGGAACGCGUCCGACGGUGAGGGACGAAGGCCAGGGGAGCAAACCGGAUUAGAUACCCGGGUAGUCCUGGCGGUAAACGAUGCGGGCUAGCUGUUGGGCGGGCUUAGAGCCCGCCCAGUGGCGCAGGGAAGCCGUUAAGUCCGCCGCCUGGGGAGUACGGCCGCAAGGCUGAAACUUAAAGGAAUUGGCGGG